rnacentral:rRNA from 1 species
CUUUAUCGGAGAGUUUGAUCCUGGCUCAGGACGAACGCUGGCGGCGUGCCUAAUACAUGCAAGUCGAGCGGACAGAUGGGAGCUUGCUCCCUGAUGUUAGCGGCGGACGGGUGAGUAACACGUGGGUAACCUGCCUGUAAGACUGGGAUAACUCCGGGAAACCGGGGCUAAUACCGGAUGUUGUUUGAACCGCAUGGUUCAGACAUAAAAGGUGGCUUCGGCUACCACUUACAGAUGGACCCGCGGCGCAUUAGCUAGUUGGUGAGGUAACGGCUCACCAAGGCGACGAUGCGUAGCCGACCUGAGAGGGUGAUCGGCCACACUGGACUGAGACACGGCCCAGACUCCUACGGGAGGCAGCAGUAGGGAAUCUUCCGCAAUGGACGAAAGUCUGACGGAGCAACGCCGCGUGAGUGAUGAAGGUUUUCGGAUCGUAAAGCUCUGUUGUUAGGGAAGAACAAGUGCCGUUCAAAUAGGGCGGCACCUUGACGGUACCUAACCAGAAAGCCACGGCUAACUACGUGCCAGCAGCCGCGGUAAUACGUAGGUGGCAAGCGUUGUCCGGAAUUAUUGGGCGUAAAGGGCUCGCAGGCGGUUUCUUAAGUCUGAUGUGAAAGCCCCCGGCUCAACCGGGGAGGGUCAUUGGAAACUGGGGAACUUGAGUGCAGAAGAGGAGAGUGGAAUUCCACGUGUAGCGGUGAAAUGCGUAGAGAUGUGGAGGAACACCAGUGGCGAAGGCGACUCUCUGGUCUGUAACUGACGCUGAGGAGCGAAAGCGUGGGGAGCGAACAGGAUUAGAUACCCUGGUAGUCCACGCCGUAAACGAUGAGUGCUAAGUGUUAGGGGGUUUCCGCCCCUUAGUGCUGCAGCUAACGCAUUAAGCACUCCGCCUGGGGAGUACGGUCGCAAGACUGAAACUCAAAGGAAUUGACGGGGGCCCGCACAAGCGGUGGAGCAUGUGGUUUAAUUCGAAGCAACGCGAAGAACCUUACCAGGUCUUGACAUCCUCUGACAAUCCUAGAGAUAGGACGUCCCCUUCGGGGGCAGAGUGACAGGUGGUGCAUGGUUGUCGUCAGCUCGUGUCGUGAGAUGUUGGGUUAAGUCCCGCAACGAGCGCAACCCUUGAUCUUAGUUGCCAGCAUUCAGUUGGGCACUCUAAGGUGACUGCCGGUGACAAACCGGAGGAAGGUGGGGAUGACGUCAAAUCAUCAUGCCCCUUAUGACCUGGGCUACACACGUGCUACAAUGGACAGAACAAAGGGCAGCGAAACCGCGAGGUUAAGCCAAUCCCACAAAUCUGUUCUCAGUUCGGAUCGCAGUCUGCAACUCGACUGCGUGAAGCUGGAAUCGCUAGUAAUCGCGGAUCAGCAUGCCGCGGUGAAUACGUUCCCGGGCCUUGUACACACCGCCCGUCACACCACGAGAGUUUGUAACACCCGAAGUCGGUGAGGUAACCUUUUAGGAGCCAGCCGCCGAAGGUGGGACAGAUGAUUGGGGUGAAGUCGUAACAAGGUAGCCGUAUCGGAAGGUGCGGCUGGAUCACCUCCUUUCU